rnacentral:lncRNA from 1 species
GAAACAUUGUAUUAGUCUAUUCUCACAUUGCUGUAAAGAAAUACCUGGGUCUGGGUAAUAUAUAAAGAAAAGAGGCUUAAUUGGUUCACCAUUCUACAGGCUGUAUACCAUCUCACACCAGUUAGAAUGGCAAUCAUUAAAAAGUCAGGAAACAACAGAUGCUGGAGAGGAUGUGAUUUGGUGGGGACACAGAUCCAAACUGUAUCACACAUCGUAGU